rnacentral:rRNA from 1 species
GAAAGCCUGACGGAGCAAUACCGCGUGAGGGAAGAAGGCUCUGUGGGUUGUAAACCUCUUUUCUCUAGGGAAGAACAAAAUGACGGUACCUAGAGGAAUCAGCAUCGGCUAACUCCGUGCCAGCAGCCGCGGUAAGACGGAGGAUGCAAGCGUUAUCCGGAACUGAUUGGGCGUAAAGCGUACGUAGGUGGCAGUUUCCUAAGUCUGCUGUCAAAGACCGGGGCUCAACCUUGUAAAGGCAAUGGAAACUGAACGAGACUAGAGUAUGAGAUAGGGGCAAGGAGGAAUUCCAGGUGUAGCGGUGAAAUGCGUAGAUAUCUGGAAGAACAUCAGUGGCGAAAGCGCUCUUGCUGGAUCAUCAACUGACGCUGAAGUACGAAAGCUAG